rnacentral:rRNA from 1 species
UACGUAGGUGACAAGCGUUGUCCGGAUUUACUGGGCGUAAAGAGCGCGCAGGCGGUCGUUCAAGUCGAGUGUGAAAGCCCCCGGCUCAACUCCGGGUCUGCAUUCGAUACGGGCAGGCUAGAGUGUGGUAGGGGAGAUCGGAAUUCUCGGUGUAGCAGUGAAAUGCGUAGAUAUCGAGAGGAACACCAGUGGCGAAGGCGAGUCUCUGGACGACUCCUGACACUGAGGCACGAAAGCUAGGGGAGCAAACAGG